GAGACCCCGCGUUUCCAUUCACAAGAAACCUUAACAAAAACCUAUUGAAAAAACCCAAAAUUUUUCAUAAAAAAACUAAUUUUUUGUCAAAAAUUUCGUCUCGGUCAAAUUGUGUUUAUAAUUUGUGUGGCUAAAAGUGUGAACUGGGAGUUUCGUUAAGAAAUACUGUGAGACCAAUAUGGCUGAAUUUCAGAGCCAGUCGUUGGAUUUUCAGUCGUUCUAGGGUGUUGUCUAUCUAAAAACAGCGGUACACAUUGCAGCCUCCUGCAUUGGAAAUUAAGAGGUACGUUAAGGAACAUAAUUAUAAAUUG